GUGACCAGGAGAGAAAAGCGUACGCCAAGAUGUUCCAAUAGUAAUUGAGUCAACUGGUUCAGGCUUUUUUCGUCGUGCUCAAAUCACCUGAAGGGGUUUAAGGUAUUGAACUCCUUAUAAAAUGAUCAGCUUGGUUGCAGAAGAAACUGGCAGCAGAUAGUAGAUACCUGGAAAGUCUUUUACUGCGUCUGGUUUGAGAAGAGAAACUUUGACAAAAUCAAGACCAUUUCUAGGUAAGAGUUAUGCCUGGGCCAUUUCAGAAGAGAACCUAGUCGGC